GACGAACGCUGGCGGCGUGCCUAAUACAUGCAAGUCGAACGCAGUGGGGACGGGUGAGUAACACGUGGGUAACCUCCCAUCAGAGGGGAUAACACUUGGAAACAGGUGCUAAACCGAUACUGAUGGAUGGAACCGCGGUGCAUUAGCUAGUUGGUGAGGUAACGGCCCACCAAGGCCACGAUGCAUAGCCGACAUGAGAGGGUGAUCGGCAACACGGGGAUUGUGAACCGGCCAAGACUCCUCCGAGAGGCAGCAGUAGGGAAUCUGCGGCAAGUGACGAAAGUCUGACCGAGCAACGCCGCUGGUGUGAAGAAGGUUUUCGGAUCGUAAAACUCUGUUGUUAGAUAAGCGGUAUCUAACCAGAAAGCCACGGCUAACUCCGUGCCAGCAGCCGCGGUAAUAC
rnacentral:rRNA from 1 species